GACGAACGCUGGCGGCGUGCUUAACACAUGCAAGUCGAGCGGAAAGGCCCUUCGGGGUACUCGAGCGGCGAACGGGUGAGUAACACGUGAGUAACCUGCCCCAGACUUUGGGAUAACCCUCGGAAACGGGGGCUAAUGCCGGAUACGACACAGCUUCGCAUGGGGUCUGUGUGGAAAGUUUUUCGGUUUGGGAUGGGCUCGCGGCCUAUCAGCUUGUUGGUGGGGUGAUGGCCUACCAAGGCGACGACGGGUAGCCGGCCUGAGAGGGCGGCCGGCCACACUGGGACUGAGACACGGCCCAGACUCCUACGGGAGGCAGCAGUGGGGAAUAUUGCACAAUGGGCGGAAGCCUGAUGCAGCGACGCCGCGUGAGGGAUGACGGCCUUCGGGUUGUAAACCUCUUUCAGCAGGGACGAAGCGUAAGUGACGGUACCUGCAGAAGAAGCGCCGGCCAACUACGUG
rnacentral:rRNA from 1 species